AAUAAGUGCAGUUUUGCACUAUUCACGUUCGACGUUUAACCGUUCGUCUUAUUUGAAAUUUUUUUUAUGAUUAGUAUUUUUAUUACUAUUAGAUGAUAAAAUAUGAAUAGUACUUUAUGUGUGAUUAAAUAUUUUUAUUUUUUUCACAAAUUUUUCAAAUAAGACGGACGGUCAAACGUUGGGCACGAAUAUCCACGACUGCACUUAUU
rfam:Oryza barthii chromosome 8, whole genome shotgun sequence.